GGAAGGGCAAUCAAGUCUACAGUGGUUCCCUCAGUGUAGCCACAAUCACCCACUUCUGCCCGUCAAAGAAAACACUACUGAGACACGUGGUCCAGACGUAUCAGCCUUAUUCAAGGGAGGGCUCCUGAUGGAAGUCACAGUUCGCAAAAGGGCAAGUUCCCUCAAAGACAGGUAAUAUUUUUGGAGUAACAGGAAGGGGGAAAUACAAUGUCCUAAUAAUCACGCCCAACAGAACCUAACCAAACCUUUCCAGCAGUUGGACUGGGCCAGCCUUGGCACAAAUAAGUACACAGGUGACUUUAGAUGCUGCAGUUGAUUUCAAACAGGUGUCUCUGAUUUCUUCCCCGACACAGUCUGGAUAACGUGGGGUCAGUAUGUGUUGUGUAGAAUAGAGACAAGGACAGUCACUGAGUGGUAUUCUGUUGAAGAAUCAGGGAACCCUUCCACUCUCCCUUUCAGCUCUUUCAAACCUUCCCUUUUCCAAGUGGCCCUUCCCGCCAAAGGAGUCUCAAAAAGGCGACCUGUUGUAGUAGCCUCCAAGGUGCGGUCCCAGCCGCUGCCCCACGUCUCCUGGGGAGUCCGGUGGCCGCCUCGACUCCUCGGGCCGUAUAUUUGCAGAGACGAGGUGCUGGGCGGUGGGCCGGACUGCGGGGGGCCGUUAGUAUAGAUCCUCCUUCCCCGCGUCUACGAGCACCCCCCGGGUUCUGCCGAAAGCGCUCGCCCAAUCUCCCCUUUACUCUCUUUUCAAGUUCAGCUCAGGUACAGUGUGACAGUUACAGCGCCCGGGAGCUGGCAGGCGCCGCCGCUGCCGCGGCAGCAGCAUCUGCUUCCGCGCAGAACGCGCUUCUCCCGCGGUACAUACCUGGUAAAGUGCGCGCCGGGGCUGAGUUGCAUAGAGACUUUCUCCUCGUCGUGCACCCGGAAAGGGCUCCCGAGAAAGCAGCUCGCGAACAGCCUAAGCCGACGCGCCGAUGGGAGCAUAAAUAAAGCUCAAGCGAGCUCUUCUUCCCCUUCCCCCAUCCCUCCGUGCCUCCCUCCUCCUUUUCACCUUCCAAAAGCCAGGAGCAGGCGAGCCGAGCAGCAGCAACAAGUUCAAAAGAAAUUCCUGUUUUUCCUCCUUGUAUUACAUUUUACAUACUGUGCUUGGCUGACAGAAAAUAAACUCAGCGAAAUCAAAAUUGAAUUCAUCACUUUUCUUCUUGAGUCAGCUACUCCUGUUUUCUCUCCUUGGAGAAAUAAAACCUGACACACUACGAAGAUGCAGGGGACAUGAGAAAGUCACAGCACAGGUAAAGCUUGAGCUGCCAUCUUGGUGUAGCCAGCACUCCAUCCAUCUCACAAUCUGAAGUCAGAAGUCUUGAGUUGGAGGUAAGCUUGAUAUAUGAACUUUUAAUGUAAGGAAUCACUUUUAGCAGUCUUUGUACAUGACAUAUACA
rnacentral:lncRNA from 1 species